GGUAGUUCAGCGGUAGAAUAAUUGACUGUUAAUCAAGAGGUCGCUGGUUCGAUCCCAGCC
rnacentral:tRNA from 2 species